GCCCGUGUAGUGCAAUGGCUAACACUCCACCCUGUCACGGUGGCAACCCGGGUUCGAAUCCCGGCACGGGCG
rnacentral:tRNA from 1 species